rnacentral:rRNA from 1 species
AAUAAGCGGAGGAAAAGAAACCAACAGGGAUUGCCUUAGUAGCGGCGAGUGAAGCGGCAAAAGCUCAAAUUUGAAAUCUGGCGCCUUCGGUGUCCGAGUUGUAAUUUGAAGAUUGUAACCUUGGGGUUGGCUCUUGUCUAUGUUUCUUGGAACAGGACGUCACAGAGGGUGAGAAUCCCGUGCGAUGAGAUGCCCAAUUCUAUGUAAGGUGCUUUCGAAGAGUCGAGUUGUUUGGGAAUGCAGCUCUAAGUGGGUGGUAAAUUCCAUCUAAAGCUAAAUAUUGGCGAGAGACCGAUAGCGAACAAGUACAGUGAUGGAAAGAUGAAAAGAACUUUGAAAAGAGAGUGAAAAAGUACGUGAAAUUGUUGAAAGGGAAGGGUUUGAGAUCAGACUCGAUAUUUUGUGAGCCUUGCCUUCGUGGCGGGGUGACCCGCAGCUUAUCGGGCCAGCAUCGGUUUGGGCGGUAGGAUAAUGGCGUAGGAAUGUGACUUUACUUCGGUGAAGUGUUAUAGCCUGCGUUGAUGCUGCCUGCCUAGACCGAGGACUGCGAUUUUAUCAAGGAUGCUGGCAUAAUGAUCCCAAACCGCCCGUCUUG